rnacentral:rRNA from 1 species
UACGUAGGGGGCUAGCGUUGUCCGGAAUCAUUGGGCGUAAAGCGCGUGUAGGCGGUUCGGUAAGUCCGCUGUGAAAGUCGGGGGCUCAACCCUCGGAUGCCGGUGGAUACUGUCGGGCUUGAGUACGGAAGGGGCGAGUGGAAUUCCUGGUGUAGCGGUGAAAUGCGCAGAUAUCAGGAGGAACACCAAUUGCGAAGGCAGCUCGCUGGGACGUUACUGACGCUGAGACGCGAAAGCGUGGGGAGCAAACAGG